rnacentral:rRNA from 1 species
GACGAACGCUGGCGGCGUGCCUAAUACAUGCAAGUAGAACGCAGUUGCGAACGGGUGUGUAACGCGUAGGUAACUGCCUGGUAUCGGGGGGUAACUAUUGGUAACGAUAGCUAAUUCCGCCUACUAUCAGAUCGACCUGCGUUGUAUUAGCUAGUUGGUGGGGUAACGGACCACAAAGGCAACGAUACAUAGCCGACCUGAGAGGGUGAGCGGCCAAACUGGGACUGAGACACGGCCCAGACUCCUACGGGAGGCAGCAGUAGGGAAUCUUCGGCAAUGGACGGAAGUCUGACCGAGCAACGCCGCGUGAGUGAAGAAGGUUUUCGGAUCGUAAAGCUCUGUUGUAAGAGAAGCGGUAUCUGACCAGAAAGGGACGGCUAACUACGUGCCAGCAGCCGCGGUAAUUC